rnacentral:misc_RNA from 1 species
AUUUAGAAGCUGGAAUGGUGAACAGAAACAAACUCGGUAGAGAAACACAAUUCGCUUAUCUUGCAAUUGCAGAGCCAUGGCCAAAAGUAUCUGGAUUUGCAAAAGUCGAUUUAUCGACAGGGGAAAUUAAAAAACAUAUAUAUGGAGAUAAACGAUAUGGAGGUGAACCAUUAUUUUUACCAAGAAAUGUGAACUCAGAAAAAGAGGACGAUGGAUAUAUUCUUGCAUUUUGCCACGACGAGAAGACAUGGAAAUCAGAACUACAAAUUGUAAAUGCCAUGACUCUAGAAUUAGAAGCUACUGUCAAGCUACCUUCAAGAGUUCCAUAUGGUUUUCAUGGGACAUUCAUUAGCUCAAAGGACUUGCAAAAUCAAGUAUAAUACCACGAAAAUUAUCGGUAUAUAUACGUACAUAUUAGAGGGAUAUUAUGUAUGUUAUAGAGGAGAUAUGUAUAAUGUUUUAAUUUUCCACAAAAUGCCAUUUUGUUGGAAUAGGGAGUUGAGAAGGG